UACGAGGGGGGCUAGCGGUGUUCGGAAUUACUGGGCGUAAAGCGCACGUAGGCGGCUCUGUAAGUUGGGGGUGAGAUCCCGAGGCUCAACCUCGGAAUUGCCUUCAAGACUGCAGGGCUUGAGUUCGGGAGAGGUGAGUGGAAUUCCCAGUGUAGAGGUGAAAUUCGUAGAGAUUGGGAAGAACACCAGUGGCGAAGGCGGCUCACUGGCCCGUAACUGACGCUGAGGUGCGAAAGCGUGGGGAGCAAACAGG
rnacentral:rRNA from 1 species